ensembl:misc_RNA Metazoa_SRP Metazoan signal recognition particle RNA
GCUGGGCAUGGUGGCGUGUGCCUGUAGUCCCAGCUACUUGGGAGGCUGAGGUGGGAGGAUUGCUUGAGCCCAGGAGGUUGAGGCUGCAUUGAGCUGAGAUCGCAACACUGCACUCACCCUGGGCGACAGAGUAAAAUCCUAUCUCAA